rnacentral:lncRNA from 1 species
CGCUGUGUGCAUGAUCUCCAACUCCACCAGUGUUGUGGAGGUGUUCUCCCGCAUCGACCACAAGUUCGACCUCAUGUACGCCAAGCGUGCCUUCGUGCACUGGUAUGUCGGUGAGGGUAUGGAGGAGGGCGAGUUCUCUGAGGCCCGUGAGGAUCUGGCAGCGCUCGAGAAGGACUACGAGGAGGUUGGUGCUGAGUUUGAUGAGGGUGAGGAAGGUGAUGAUGGUGAUGAGUACUAGAAGUAUCCUGAUGCGGUCAUCGUCAGGCUUGUGUGCUGCUCUUGUCCCCGUUGUGGUUUGCAACACCUGAUGUUGUAAGACUUUCUGGUUAUGUCCGCCCCGCUGUGCCACUGGGUUAUUAAGAACGUCGUUAUGGAUGGUUGUCUACACUACAUUAUUGCUUCUCGAUAUUGGAAAACUGUUAUGCGCCUCGGUGGAUUGUGUUGUUGUCGUAAUGUCAUCACUCAUACGCCGCUGGGAAUUUUGAGGCCUGUCAAGCAUCAGGAUUGCGUUAUGAGUUAAAUGCUUCAGCGACGUUUAAACUUGUCUAAGGUGCCAUCUAGAUCAUGAACUUGUCAAGGGUUGCCACUUAGAUCAUGAACUUCGUAAAUAUGUUUUUGGAUCCAAAAUAUGUUUUUGAUCCUUAAGGGUGUGUUUGGUUGAAUGUAUAAGAAGGGAUGAAAGAGGAAUGUCAUAAUUUCUAUAGUGUUUGGUUGAGAGACAAGUGAGGACGAGAUAAAUACCUAAGAAGGGAUGAAAGAGGAAUGCCACAAUUUCUAUAGUGUUUGGUUCAGAGACAAGUGACAAUUUCUAUAGUGUUUGGUUGAGAGACAAGUGAGGGCGAGUAAAUACCGCAAUAAUUUUUUGGUGGCACCGAAUUUUUGUGAAGUUGUAUACAUUUUGGACACCAAUAGAAAAUAGAAUUAAAAAAAUAUAAAACUGGUGUCAUUUAAAUCAGUGUCACGUUAUUAAAAUUUAAAACUAUCAACUAAAAUUGUCUAAUGGAUUAUUUAUGUGGUUUUGUAAAGUUGUGGAGAUUAAACAACCAGUUUUGAAGAUAAGUAAGUGAAAUAGUCAAAUAUAAAACUAGGUUAAGAAUUUAGGUACACUUACGACUAGUUUAGAUGCCGCAAAAUGGGUUAAAUUUUUCUUCUUAUUCAAAAUUAAAUAAUAAGGUGAAUUUAACUACUCUAAUUUCCUCUGUUUUUUUAACUCCCAAACUAUCCCUUAUUCGUAAUAAUAGGAAGCGGUGACAGUUUGGUGGUGAGAACUCAGGUAUCAACAAAAAGAAAUGUAUUUUUGAAAUAUUUUGCUCGUAAUGCCCUGCAAGGUUUCGAUUUCCGUAGCCAGUACAUGUCCGCUCUUGACCCAGGUACUGUGUCACGAACCAACCGACCGUUGAACGGACGUGGAGCACGAACCAUUAAAACAAUCAAAAUCUCAGGGGCUCAAACGAAAAAACACCGCCCCCUUCCCUCGCUUGCGCUGGCACUCCAUCGUGGGCUCGUGGCCCAGGCUGUCGUUCUGUUCUAUAAAGCGAGACGAGUGGGAGCAGGCGUAACCCUAAUUGAGCAUCGCAGAGAUAGGCGUCUUCGUACUCGCCUACCUCCGCGGCUCAAACCUUUCCCCCUUCUCCCAAUUCCUUCCGCCGGCCGCCGCUCCACCCGUACGACGACACCAUGAGGGAGUGCAUUUCGAUCCACAUCGGCCAGGCCGGUAUCCAGGUCGGAAACGCGUGCUGGGAGCUGUACUGCCUUGAGCAUGGCAUUCAGGUAACGAUCCGUCAUUCCCUCCCCCGUUCUCCCUCUGUUGAGGUAGAUCUAUAAUCGGUAUGGGGGUUUCAUCGCUAAUAUUUGCUGGAUUUUUGGUGGGGCUGAAUCCGCCGGAGGAAAUGACGUUUCAAAUCGGUAGAUCUGUACGGAUCUGGAUGCAUGUAAUGGUGGCUACCCGGAUCCGGGUUUGCUAGGUCUGAUCCGGAGAACUGGUGUCUGAGCGAGAUUGCAAUUGUUUUUGAACUGGAAUUUUGAUACGUAGAAUUUGAAUAGGGAUCACCCGAAACCCACGUGCGUGGUAGAUCUGAGUGCCCAGAAUUCGUUUAAAUGUACUGUCAGUUUGGAUCUUUGAAUUUUCAUAGGCUAAGUUCCGUAUUGCCUGUUGAUAUGUGAGCCUUGAUGUACAAAUACAGACUAUAGUAUGUUUAGUGUUAAUUUGAUGUGAGCCUUGAUGAAUUUUCACAGGCUAAGUUCCAUGCCCACAAUGCAUCCAUUCAUACUGUUAUUAAUUCUGUAAAAAAAACGAAUACACGUCACUCUUAGGCACCUUAACCCAAUUUGCAUUUUUCUGUUUAAAUCUGUUAGAAAUGGGAUAGAGACUGGCAUGUUGUUAUGUAGUCCUAGCUGUUAUUAGCUUUAUCUAGGACUAAAUGCUGUUCACAUAUUUCAAGUGUUUGCAAUCGGAGAUUCAAUCAUGGCUCCCUAGGACAUUUGAAUCGUGUGUCAUAGUUUGAAAUAUGAGAUUCAGGCCUGUGUUACCUUAAGAUCAUGCAUCUGUCUGGUCUACUACUGUAGAUGGCAUGUAUUUUUUACAUAGACUCCUUAAGUCGCAUAUUAACACUACUACAUUUGUGUUUUGUUCAGGCUGACGGUCAGAUGCCCGGUGACAAGACCAUUGGGGGAGGUGAUGAUGCUUUCAACACCUUCUUCAGUGAGACUGGUGCUGGGAAGCACGUGCCCCGUGCUGUUUUUGUUGACCUUGAACCCACUGUCAUCGAUGAGGUGAGAACUGGCACCUACCGCCAGCUCUUCCACCCUGAGCAGCUCAUCAGUGGGAAGGAGGAUGCAGCCAACAACUUUGCCCGUGGUCACUACACCAGUAAGUAAUCUGAUCUGAGCGUCAGUUUUCACUGCUCCUUGAUAUUUGCUCUGUAAUGAACAUCUCAUUUAAACCUGAUUCCUUGUUUUGCAGUUGGCAAGGAGAUUGUUGACCUGUGCCUUGAUCGCAUCAGGAAGCUUGCCGACAACUGCACUGGUCUCCAGGGCUUCCUCGUCUUCAACGCUGUUGGUGGAGGAACGGGCUCUGGCCUUGGUUCCCUCCUCCUAGAGCGCCUGUCUGUUGACUACGGCAAGAAAUCCAAGCUUGGGUUCACUGUGUACCCUUCCCCCCAAGUUUCUACUUCGGUAGUUGAGCCAUACAACAGUGUACUGUCCACCCACUCCCUCCUCGAGCACACUGAUGUGGCUAUACUGCUGGACAAUGAGGCCAUCUACGACAUCUGCCGCCGAUCCCUUGACAUUGAGCGCCCAACCUACACCAACCUCAACAGGCUUGUGUCCCAGGUACUGACUUACUGUCUUGGUCUACUGCUUUCGCAUUUUGCCUGGUAAACUGGUUCAAAUACUGGCUGUUGUCUGUAACAACUACCUGUUACUGAUGUUGUACAGGUCAUCUCAUCCCUUACUGCCUCCCUGAGGUUCGAUGGUGCUCUGAACGUGGAUGUUAACGAGUUCCAGACCAACCUGGUACCCUACCCGAGGAUCCACUUCAUGCUUUCUUCGUACGCUCCAGUCAUCUCUGCUGAGAAGGCCUACCACGAGCAGCUCUCUGUGGCUGAGAUCACCAACAGUGCCUUCGAGCCAUCUUCCAUGAUGGCCAAGUGCGACCCACGCCAUGGCAAGUACAUGGCCUGCUGCCUCAUGUACCGUGGUGAUGUGGUCCCCAAGGAUGUGAAUGCUGCUGUGGCCACCAUCAAGACCAAACGCACCAUCCAGUUCGUGGAUUGGUGCCCGACUGGCUUCAAGUGCGGCAUCAACUACCAGCCUCCUAGCGUUGUGCCUGGUGGCGACCUGGCCAAGGUGCAGCGUGCCGUGUGCAUGAUCUCCAACUCCACCAGUGUUGUGGAGGUGUUCUCCCGCAUCGACCACAAGUUCGACCUCAUGUACGCCAAGCGUGCCUUCGUGCACUGGUACGUCGGUGAGGGUAUGGAGGAAGGUGAGUUCUCUGAGGCCCGUGAGGACCUGGCGGCGCUCGAGAAGGACUACGAGGAGGUCGGUGCUGAGUUCGAUGAGGGCGAGGAUGGCGACGAGGGUGACGAGUACUAGAGAAGUUUGCUGAUGACGCAGCAUCAGGCCAGUGUGCUGCCCUUAUCCCGUGAUCUGCCGAGAGUUGCUCCUGCUAUCGUGUUAUGUGUGUCUGUUCUGAAGUAUUGUGUGGUUUACAACACCUGAUGUUGUAAGAGUUGUUAAUUCCCCUGCAUUGCUACCGGGUUAUUGAGAAUAAUUAUGGCUGUUUACGUUGUUGCUUCAUCUCGGAGAUGCUUUACAUUUACCACCUUGUUCAUCUUUUGUCAUCAGUAAAAUCGAGUCGGCGGAUGAUUUU